rfam:Danio rerio chromosome 7, GRCz11 reference primary assembly.
CCAAAGGCUCUUUUCAGAGCCACCUCAUUCUUACUUAAAAGAUCAA